AACGCGAAGAACCUUACCGACUCUUGACACCAGCGUUUGACAUGGCAGGACGGCUUCCAGAGAUGGAUUCCUUCCCUUCGGGGACCUGCACACAGGUGCUGCAUGGCUGUCGUCAGCUCGUGUCGUGAGAUGUUGGGUUAAGUCCCGCAACGAGCGCAACCCUCGUCCUUAGUUGCCAGCAUUCAGUUGGGUACUCUAAGGAAACCGCCGGUGAUAAGCCGGAGGAAGGUGGGGAUGACGUCAAGUCCUCAUGGCCCUUACGCGCUGGGCUACACACGUGCUACAAUGGCGGUGACAAUGGGCUGCAAUCCCGCGAGGGUGAGCUAAUCUCCAAAAGCCGUCUCAGUUCGGAUUGUUCUCUGCAACUCGAGAGCAUGAAGGUGGAAUCGCUAGUAAUCGCGAAUCAGAAUGUCGCGGUGAAUACGUUCCCGGGUCUUGUACACACCG
rnacentral:rRNA from 1 species